rnacentral:rRNA from 1 species
GGCCAGACUCCUACGGGAGGCAGCAGUGAGGAAUAUUGGUCAAUGGGCGCGAGCCUGAACCAGCCAAGUCGCGUGAGGGAAGACGGUCCUAUGGAUUGUAAACCUCUUUUGUCGGGGAGCAAAAGACGCCACGCGUGGCGUUCCGAGAGUACCCGGAGAAAAAGCAUCGGCUAACUCCGUGCCAGCAGCCGCGGUAAUACGGAGGAUGCGAGCGUUAUCCGGAUUUAUUGGGUUUAAAGGGUGCGUAGGCGGGAUGCCAGGUCGGCGGUAAAAAUGCGGUGCCCAACGCUGUCGAGCCGUUGAAACUGGCGUUCUUGAGUGGGCGAGAAGUAUGCGGAAUGCGUGGUGUAGCGGUGAAAUGCAUAGAUAUCACGCAGAACUCCGAUUGCGAAGGCAGCAUACCGGCGCCCUACUGACGCUGAGGCACGAAAGCGUGGGUAUCGAACAGGAUUAGAUACCCGUGUA